CGGAAGUCUGUGCCCAUGGGCGGGGCCUACGCGGAACGCGCGUUUUAGUGCGGACUCCACCCUCGCUGACGGUGAGCGCGAAAAAAUUCGCCAGAUCAGGCGGGCCUACCCGGAAGGACCGGAGGGGACGAGCAGACUAAAAUGAUGAAGCCAGCGCGUGCGCAGAGGGGCGUGUAGGACAGGUCUGGCGAGAGCCGCUGGAGCGGGUGAAGGGGAGACUGGUCAGAUCAUUGCCCAGAGCACCGGCGCGAGAUGGUGUUACCCUUGUGGCUGCAGUGUCAUCAGAUGACGUAAAUGACAGGACAAAAUGGCGGAGGUACGGUUAUCGAUUGAGGAACGUAAGACCAUUUUAAUAUGGUAUUUCAAAUUUGAGAAUAGCGGUGAAGUACAACGACGGUGGAGGCAUGAGUUCGGAACAGAACCUCCAACACGCCUGACAAUUUCACGGAUUCGGGAUAAGUUUGUAAAACAUGGUACCAUGUGUGACGUGCAUAAAGGACAGUCCAGCAGACCUCGUACAGCAACAGGUGCUGCCUCCUCGGCGAUGGUGCUGGAAGUGUUCACACUCUCACCACAGAAGUCUGCUGCACAGUGUGCACGUGAGACAGGAGUAAGCAGUACAAGCAUGCAGCUCAUCCUUAAAAGAGCAAAGUGGCAAGUUUACAUCCCAAGACUGUUCCAUGCAAUCAAUGAAGAUGAUCCGAAUCGAAGAGUCCAGUUUUGUGAGUGGUUUCAACACAUGCAAGACAGUGCACUGCCACACGACCACAGAGAUGUCCAAGCUUACCUGGACAGGCAUUUGCAAGGACACUGGCUCGGACGAAGAGGUGCAGUUGAGUUCCCCGAACGUUCUCCUGACUUAACACCUGCAGACUUUUAUCUGUGGGGGACUCUACAGGAUGUCGUGUGUCACAGAAAACCCACUGCUCUGCUGGGGCUUAGAGAAGACAUUGAAAGUGCAUGUGCAGCAAUCUCAAUGGACACUCUGACCGAGGUCACCCAGGCAGCGGUUCACCACGCUAAUAAAUGUCCGCAAGCUCACGGUCACUGCUUUGAGCAGCUCUUGUGAUUGUGGAGGCCAGAGGUGACUCGUGUUAAUUAUGUGUCUCAAUAAUACAAGUUUUUCUUUUCCUGAUAUGUAUAUACAUUUUUUGGUGAACUCUGUAUAUUCACACAGUAAUAUGGAUUAUAUAGUAUAUAUGUAUACAUAAAAUCCUAUGUAUAGCAUAUAUUAGGUUUAUAAUAUGUAAUACUAUAUAGUAUACUGCAUAACCUCUAUGAAUGCAGAAAAAUUUAUUGAAAGAUAAAUACCUUGAAUCCAUCAUGCUUAUUCAGGUGCAUAACUGUAAACGAGUGAACUUCAGUAUACAGUUAAGUUUCUGUUAAUUGUGCAUUCUUUUUUUUUUUUUUU